rnacentral:rRNA from 1 species
UACAGAGGUCUCAAGCGUUGUUCGGAUUCAUUGGGCGUAAAGGGCUCGUAGGCGGUUUGUCGCGUCGGGAGUGAAAACUCGGGGCUUAACCCCGGGCCUGCAGUGGGUACGGGCAGACUAGAGUGCGGUAGGGGAGACUGGAAUUCCUGGUGUAGCGGUGAAAUGCGCAGAUAUCAGGAGGAACACCGAUGGCGAAGGCAGCUCACUGGGACGGUACUGACGCUGAGACGCGAAAGCGUGGGGAGCAAACAGG